UGCGUUAUAGAGCAGUUAGGUUAGCUCACCAGGCUCAUGCCCUGGAGGUCGUAKGUUCAAAUMCUGCUKGCGCUA
rnacentral:tRNA from 1 species